UACGGAGGGUGCAAACGUUGCUCGGAAUCAUUGGGCGUAAAGCGCACGUAGGCGGUCCAGCAAGUCGGGUGUGAAAGCCCUCGGCUUAACCGAGGAAGUGCAUUCGAAACUACAGGACUUGAAUACUGGAGAGGAUCGCGGAAUUCCCGGUGUAGUGGUGAAAUGCGUAGAUAUCGGGAGGAACACCAGUGGCGAAGGCGACUACCUGGCCCAUUCUUGACGCUGAGGCGCGAAAGCUAGGGGAGCGAACGGG
rnacentral:rRNA from 1 species